CCUACGGGUGGCUGCAGUGAGGAAUAUUGGUCAAUGGGCGGGAGCCUGAACCAGCCAAGCCGCGUGAAGGAAGAAGGCGCCAGGCGUCGUAAACUUCUUUUGUCGGGGAACAAAGGGCGCCACGCGUGGCGUUGUGAGUGUACCCGAAGAAAAAGCAUCGGCUAACUCCGUGCCCGCAGCCGCGUUAAUACGGAGGAAUCGAGGGUUAUCCGGUUUUCUUGGGUUUAAAGGGGGUGUAGGCGGUCCGGAAAGUCAACGGUAAAAGCCCGGGGCUAAACCCAGGCGAGCCGUUGAAACUGUCGGACUAGAGGCGGCGAGAAGUACGCGGAAUGCGCGGUGUAGCGGUGAAAGGCAUAGAUAUCGCGCAGAACUCCGAUUGCGAAGGCAGCGUACCGGCGCCGGACUGACGCUGAGGCACGAAAGCGUGGGUAUCGAACAGGAUUAGAUACCCUGGUAGUC
rnacentral:rRNA from 1 species